rnacentral:rRNA from 1 species
UACGUAGGGGGCUAGCGUUGUCCGGAAUUAUUGGGCGUAAAGAGCUCGUAGGCGGUUUGUCGCGUCUGCUGUGAAAAUCCGAGGCUCAACCUCGGACUUGCAGUGGGUACGGGCAGACUAGAGUGUGGUAGGGGAGACUGGAAUUCCUGGUGUAGCGGUGGAAUGCGCAGAUAUCAGGAGGAACACCGAUGGCGAAGGCAGGUCUCUGGGCCACUACUGACGCUGAGAAGCGAAAGCAUGGGGAGCGAACAGG